AUUGAACGCUGGCGGCAGGCCUAACACAUGCACGUCGAACGAGUGGCGGACGGGUGAGUAAUGUCUGGGAAACUGCCUGAUGGAGGGGGAUAACUACUGGAAACGGUAGCUAAUACCGCAUACCAUCGGAUGUGCCCAGAUGGGAUUAGCUAGUAGGUGGGGUAAAGGCUCACCUAGGCUACGCUCCCUCGCUGGUCUGAGAGGAUGACCAGCCACACUGGAACUGAGACACGGUCCAUACGUCUACGGGAGGCAGCAGUGGUGAAUAGUGCACAAUGGGCGCAAGCCUGAUGCAGCCAUGCCGCGUGGAUGAAGAAGGCCUUCGGGGUGUAAAGUACUUGCAGCGGGGAGGCUUUACCCGCAGAAGAAGCACCGGCUAACCCCGUGCCAGCAGCCGCGGUAAUAC
rnacentral:rRNA from 1 species